rnacentral:rRNA from 1 species
GAUGAACGCUGGCGGCGUGCCUAGCACAUGCAAGUCGAGGGGCAGCAUAAAAGUAGCAAUACUUUGGUGGCGACCGGCGCACGGGUGAGUAACGCGUAUGCAACCUACCUAUCAGAGGGGAAUAACCCGGCGAAAGUCGGACUAAUACCGCAUAAAACAGGGGCACCGCAUGGUGAUAUUUGUUAAAGAGAUUCGCUGAUAGAUGGGCAUGCGUUCCAUUAGGUAGUUGGUGAGGUAACGGCUCACCAAGCCGACGAUGGAUAGGGGAACUGAGAGGUGGGUCCCCAACACGGGUACUGAGACACGGACCAGACUCCUACGGGAGGCAGCAGUGAGGAAUAUUGGUCAAUGGGCGAGAGCCUGAACCAGCCAAGUCGCGUGAAGGAAGAAGGAUCUAUGGUUCGUAAACUUCUUUUGCAGGGGAAUAAAGUGCAGGACGUGUCCUGUUUUGUAUGUACCCUGAGAAUAAGGAUCGGCUAACUCCGUGCCAGCCGCCGCCGUAA